GCCUGGGAGGCUUAGUCGGUUAAGCGUCUGACUUCGGCUCAGGUCAUGAUCUCGCAGUUCGUGAGUUCAAGCCCCGCGUCAGGCU
rnacentral:tRNA from 1 species